rnacentral:lncRNA from 1 species
CUUCCUUUGUCUAUGGUUGGAAGGAGCACUUUCUUUUUUUAUCUUGUUCUUCCAUUAAAGAUUGGAGAUUUGUAUGCUCGGGCUAACCAAGGGAGUCUGCCCUCUGGAUUCCAGUGUUAAGGAAGAGGAUACUCAGUGCUUCAAGACUUUGCAUAAGUAUAAGAUUCCAUUGUUGAAGAAACUAUUAUCAUAGCAGACUCCUUUUAACGUCAGUCUUAUCCCAGCCAACCCC